AUACGUUUGUUCUCUUUCGAAAUUACUCAUUUUUUGUUUAAUUAAUUGUAUUAGUUGAAUAAAUGUAUACAAAAUAUGUGUACUGCGCAUGCCAUAAGUGUAUAAUCUAUGGCGCAUGCGUCAACUAUAAUGCCUAAACUUUCUACGCGGUUUUAAUCGUGAAAAAAAAACAAUUAUAAAUCCUGAAGGAUCAAUUAAUUGGUAUACAGUUUAAUUAAAAAAAUUAAAAACAAAAUAAAUAAAAUAAUGUGCAUUCGCGUAAAGUUAGACCAAAUACAUUUUUCCAUCCUCCUAUAUACCUAUCGCUAUGAAGGUAUAAAAAAGAUAGGUUAAGAGUUCACAUAGGUAAUAUAAACCAAUAAGUAAAUAUGUUCAUUAUUUAUCUUUCAAGAGAUAAUGUAGGUAUACAUUAAAAUAACAUUUUGACACAGUCGAAAUUAUAUUCCUAACAUUAGUAAAAUAACAUUUUAAUAAUUUUUUUAUAGGUUAUGUAUUGAAAUUGUUGGAAAAUUAUUUCAUGUUUUAGCUGGAAAACUACAUGGAGAAUUAUAUGCAAUACAAGAUAAUGAGCUCCAUUAAAUGAAUUCGAAUGAAACCAAACUGUUUACCAUCCAAAUUCGAUUGUCGGGCAGAUAGAAAACGAAAAUUCACUCAUAGUGAACCUCGGCCUACAUUUGUGAAACGGCAAAGACUCACUAUUAUCAAGGAAAUUGAAGAGACAACUAAAAAUGAGAUGUGUCGUAUUAUUAUACUUUUGCCAUCUUGUAGUCAAGAUGUCCAGCCACUUGAAAAUAGGUGUAGUAAUGACAAAGCUAUCCAUGUAGCUCCAGCACAGGAACACAAAGGCAAGGCAAGUGUGUAUUGCCACAUCACCCCUUAAUAUAUCUGAAGCAAGUAUAAGUAAACAAUCAGAACCAGCAAAAAAAAAACUGUUGUUCCUGAGGACAAAUUUGACAGUGAUGAGUCAAAUGCACCAGCAACAGAAGGAUCAACUGUUGACUAUGAGUUAUCUCUCUAUAUCUCCACUCCAUCAAAGACUUGUGCACUUCAGACUAUAGUUCUCAAGAAGACUAAAAAGUUGAAAAAAUGAAUGUGUUAACAACUUUAUCUAAAGUGAAAAAUGAACAACGUUUAUAUAUUGGUCUUCCACAAGAAUUAUGUUUCAUAAUAGGCUUGAUUGAGAAACAUACAAAUGUUUCUGAACAAAAUAUUACAUUAUGUCUGAUGAGAAUAACAUUAAAUAGAACAUUCUCUCAAUUGGCUGAUGAUUUCGAUUUAUCUGUAAGUCAAGCAAGCAAUAUAUUUUUCAACAAACUCCCAGAAAUUGCAAAUGUAAUAUCACCCCUUGUUAGACUAUAAAAAAAACAAUACAAUAAAUAUAUAUGCAGGAAGGAUAAUUGAUGUCAACUUGGUGGAAAAUAGAAAGUUUUUAGAUAGUUUGCCACCUACAAAACUCUUUAAUUAAAUAAGUAAUCCUUACUUAAAUAGGAAGUUUUGUAAGUAUUUUCACUCUUCAUUCAAAAACUACUGAACAGAUUUUAAUAAGACUUUUAUGCUGGUCUUCUAUGGCUAGCAACUCAUUAUUAUUUUGAUUCUGUUUUCCACAAAUGUGCUAAAUAUGGGCUUAUAUAUAUGAAAAGGAAUAAAUAUUAAUGUUAUGUAACCUUUGUACCUGUAUGUUAAGAAUAAUUUUUAAUAAAACAUAAUUUAAAUUGAAA